GUGCCAGCAGCCGCGGUAAUACGUAGGGUGCGAGCGUUGUCCGGAAUUACUGGGCGUAAAGAGCUCAUAGGUGGUUUGUCGCGUCGUCUGUGAAAUUCUGGGGCUUAACUCCGGGCGUGCAGGCGAUACGGGCAUAACUUGAGUGCUGUAGGGGUAACUGGAAUUCCUGGUGUAGCGGUGAAAUGCGCAGAUAUCAGGAGGAACACCGAUGGCGAAGGCAGGUUACUGGGCAGUUACUGACGCUGAGGAGCGAAAGCAUGGGUAGCGAACAGGAUUAGAUACCCUGGUAGUCAAGGGCGAAUUCGUU
rnacentral:rRNA from 1 species